CCAAACAGAGAUCAACUUGAUUUAGAAAGGCUAUCCAUUUUCCUGCAAUGGCCUGGGUUCUGCUUCUCUUCACAGUUUUCGUCUCCAUUGGUCUCAGUGUCCAGCAGCUACAGACCUUGAAGGACCCAGAAUUCGUGGCUCCGGGUGGGACGGUCACCAUGUCUUGCAGAUUCGAUAGUGGAAACAUUGGUGAUGGCAAUUACCCUGGGUGGGUGCAGAAGAAACCAGGGAGUAAACCCCAGACAGUGAUAUAUGCUACCAGUACCAGACCGUCUGAUGUCCCAGCCCGUUUCUCUGGUUCCAGGUCAGGGAACAUGAUGUCCCUGACCAUUACGGGGGCCCAGGUGGAAGAUGAAGCAGCUUAUUACUGUUAUGUGUGGACUGCGAGCCAGUGA